rnacentral:rRNA from 1 species
GAUGAACGCUGGCGGCGUGCCUAAUACAUGCAAGUCGAGCGAACAGACGAGGAGCUUACUCCUCUGACGUUAGCGGCGGACGGGUGAGUAACACGUGGAUAACCUACCUAUAAGACUGGGAUAACUUCGGGAAACCGGAGCUAAUACCGGAUAACAUGUUGAACCGCAUGGUUCAACAGUGAAAGACGGUCUUGCUGUCACUUAUAGAUGGAUCCGCGUCGCAUUAGCUAGUUGGUAAGGUAACGGCUUACCAAGGCAACGAUGCGUAGCCGACCUGAGAGGGUGAUCGGCCACACUGGAACUGAGACACGGUCCAGACUCCUACGGGAGGCAGCAGUAGGGAAUCUUCCGCAAUGGGCGAAAGCCUGACGGAGCAACGCCGCGUGAGUGAAGAAGGUCUUCGGAUCGUAAAACUCUGUUAUUAGGGAAGAACAAAUGUGUAAGUAACUAUGCACGUCUUGACGGUACCUAGUCAGAAAGCCACGGCUAACUACGUG